AAUUAAUGCAAAAAAAAAUCCAUGAUGAACAGAAUGUCACAAAUUUAAGUGAGGACUGGAUGGAUGGACAACAAGCCAUAUUGGAGUCGGAAACAAAAGGAAGCAUCAGUAAAACUGAUCCUGUCUGGUAGUCCUUAGGAGAAGAGAGACACCUCCCGUCUCCCUUUCAGGGCCAGAGGCUGAUGUGGAAGGGACUCUGACUCUCUCAAAAGGGCCAGCUGAUGUCUAGAAUGUGUAAGCUGUAGAGAGCUAUAAGCCCAGCGUGACCCAGAGAGGGGCUGUUCCUACAGCUUGGAUCCAUUAAUGAAGACAACUUGGGAAGGGAGCUGCAGCCAGAGUGAGUGAGAAGUGAGGAAAAGCUCUGAAGUUAUGUCGGCUCUGGGAACCUCGGCCCUGGAAAAUCACUAAGUUUCUCAGCCCUCCCAUCAGCAGGACCCUCUCCACUCCAGCAGCCAUGGGUGCCAGCUGAAGGUCAGCGCCCUUGCUGAUGCAGAGCCCCAACUAGACGCUGCCCCAGGGAGUCUCUGGCCUCUCCCGGGUGCUGUGAAUGGCUCGAGCUGAAUUCAGGUCUCACUUUGAGAGGAAGGACGUCAUCCCAACUGGCUCAACUGCAUUGCCUUGCCUGGGGAAACAAAGUUUAAUACGCAGAAUGAAACCAUUUUAAUGGCUGGCUUAUGCUGCCCCAAACAAGACAUCGACCCGGACUCAGUAUUUAGUGAGCCUUUAGUGUGUCAGAUACUGCUCAGGGCAGAGAUCAACGACCUGAUGCUCACAGCCUUUGCAGGCAAACAGCCUGUUAACAAUCUAAUGGAGCAGAGUACAAAGUGCUGUGGGAAGACCUGUUUUAAUUCUGCCUGGAUGAACCACGAAGGCUUCGUACGGGAGGGAGUGCUUGAACAGGGCUUGGGAGGAUGAUUUUGACCACAAAUGUAGCCUCAGGGAAAAGGGGGGUGUGGACGUGUGCCCUUGCAUCUGCCCACAGGGAAGAAUUUGUGAUGAUCAGAAAUGUGAUAGAACCAACAGCAGUUACGUGAAAUGAGUGCUGUCAGUUGUGAGCCCCAAAUUACACCUCUGUUCUGUGACAGUGUAAAAUGAUUUCUUCUAGCCAAAAAAACAAACAUAAAUUAGAAGUACCCUGUCAUAGAAGACCUACCAACGUCACAAAGCAUUCUGUGCCCUACAUUUUUGAUCACCUGCAAUCUGACAGGAAAAGAAGGGAAAGAAGUUCAUUCCAAGCAGACGACAUGGCACAGGCAAAGGGGAGGAGGGCCAGUGUCCUGGGAAUGGCAGGAAGUCCUGUCCACUCAGAACCGGGGGCAUAAGAAUGACAUGGCCCCAGUCGAUCCUCUUACCCCCAAUAGGGAAACAGGUACAAAGAAAGGGAGCAUCGUUUUCUUUCAUGGGAGGAGGGUGGCCUCUUAAUGAUGAGCAUGCUAAAGUGCAUGUCCAGAGUGUGUUUUUAGGGCUCUAGCUAUAACCAUCCUAGCUGAUUUAGGAACUCCAUAGUAUAGUGUAGUAUAACAACAACAACAAAAUUGGUCUUUGUCCUAGGUUCCUGGCACAGAGCUUCCUUGGAAAUUCCUGAUAGGAGUGUCUUUUGCUAUUCAUAGCAGGCCCUUUUGAACACAUCAGAGUUUAUGCUAGUGAGGUGACUCAGGAUGGGACCCCUAGAGAUAGCUUCAGGAUGGGAGCUGGUCACCCGAAAGACCAAACGUGGUAAGAGGGUGGGAAUUUUCAGCCCCACCUCCCAACCUCUGAGGAAGGGAGGGGGGCUGGAGAUUGAGUUAUAAAAACUCUGGAACAGCAAGAUUUGGAGAAUGUCCGGGCUGGUGAACACAUCGAGGUGCUUGGUGGGUGGUGUGCCCUGAGAGGGCGUGGACGCUUCACCCCUGCAUACUUGGCCCUGUGUAUCUCCUCCAUUCAGCUCUUCCUGAGUUGUAUCUUUUACAAUAACGUGGUCAUUGUAAGUAGAGCACUUUCCUGAGUUCUGAGUCAUUCCAGUGAAUUAUAGAACUUGAGGGGAAUUGUGGAAACCCCCAGACUUGUAGUUGGUCAGGUAGAAGUGAGGGUCAUCUAGGGAUUCCACUUGCAGCUAGCAUCUAAAGCGGGGGAAAUCUUGUGGGACUGAGUUCUUUAACUGGUGGGAUCUGAGACUAACUCUAGGUAGGUAGUAUCAGAAUUGAAUUGAAUUAUUGGAAACCUAGUUGGUGAUAGGGAAUUGGAGAAUUGAUAUGGAAAAACAACAUGUAUUUGGUGUUGGAAAUACGUGGAAUAUACGGAAAAAAACCCAUGUGGCAUCAGAAAAAAAAAACCCAUGCAUAUAGAAAUGGUCAUUCACGAGGAAACAUCAUCAAUCUUGUUUAAAGGAGACAAUUUGCAAAGCCGCUCAUGCAGUUCACAGUUUGCUUAUAGCUAACGCAAAUUCCUUUUGGCUUUAGAGCCAAGCUUGUGAGAGACGUUCACAAAAAACAGGGCUUCUCAGGGAAAAACUUGAUAUUCUGUUCAAUUUAAUGGCAAAGUGGGAGGCCCAGAUAGAAGAACUGGAAUGCACAAGUUCCCGGGUCUGUGUCCUCUCUGUCACUGGACUGGUACAAGAGGAGGGCUGCUGGGCCUUCAUGACCUGGAAGCUCACCUGAGGCAGUUCCUUCUGGAAGGAUAUGGAAAGAAGCAGAGGGACCUAGGGUUCCAGUCUGGCUCUUCCACAGAUGCCCUGCAUGCCUUGGGCAAGUUGCUCCCAUCUCGGGCUUCAGAUUUUUCAUCCGUAAAAUGAGGGAUACUGGGCUUGAUGAAUGCCUAGGUUUAUCCAGCCUGAAGAGUGGGAUUCCAGGGAGGGUGCCCCAGAGAUUGCUGGAGGACACAGCAAAAGAGCGGGCAUGGGGGUUUAUCACAUUGAAUAACAAUAAGUGUUGAGUAAAGGAAUUUUUCAGAGAAGCAAACAGCCUCCAGAUGACUCCUGGCCCGUCCCUGAGCCAGAAAAUCAGAGAAACAGAGAGAGACUGGGUGCCGGUCAGCAGAGGCUGUGUGAUUAGAAGGCCGUCCGGUUAAUCACCCUACCCUCGGCGGUCCUGACUUCUCCCUCGUGUGUCCUUUCCCAGGAUGGGCAGCACGGCACCACCUACUGCAUUUUCAAGGGCCUGCUGCUCUGAUGAACCAUGAAGACCCCGAAAGCUCAUUCAAUAUGCACGUGACAUAGAGCAGGGAGGGAGAGCUGCUGUGCUGGAAGGUAGAAACAGGAUUUAAAACUGUGCCCCCGGGGCUUCCCUGGUGGCGCAGUGGUUGAGAGUCCGCCUGCCGAUGCAGGGG